UCUCGAUAGCGUAAAAGUUAACUCAUAUUUGUAUGGAAUAGGAUCGUUUGCCUACGUUUGCCGCUAGGAGCGCUGUUCCAACUACAUACAAAACUAUGGGUUAACUUUUACGCUAUCGA
rnacentral:pre_miRNA from 9 species